rnacentral:lncRNA from 1 species
CGGCAGGCCCGGGUGGGCAGAGUGGCAGCCUGGACGGGUCCAGCCUUCUCGCAGCCUCUGCCAGUCCCCAGGUGUCUGGGGCUGCUGAGGGACACUGAAUGGGGCAGCAGGAAUAGGAGGGGCCACAUUCGGGGUUCCGAAGCCAGUCAGGGAGGACCUGGGAAGCUGCCAGAGGCACCUCAGUGGGGAGGAGGGCGCGAGACAGAUGAAUGACGGGCAAAUGACAGGGGCAACAACCUGCAACUACGUGGCCUCGUGAUGUGGAUCCACCGCAGCAUGGAGCGGGGUCUGCAUCAGGAAAGACACUCCUCUUCCCCUGGCCGCAGGUCCCAAGACCAUCGUGCAUACCAGAAUCUCAGCAUUCCCCUUCGCAUGACUCAGAUUAGGUCACCUGGGCCCACCGAACAGUCCAUCCUUCCACAGCCCCAUUCCAGGGAAAGCAGAAGUUCUUCCAGGGGCAGAAGGAGGGAGACAGGACUGCUGAAUUAGAACUUGAGCCAUAAAAUGUAUUCGUCCAGCUCCACAGAACCUUCCCCCUGAGCUACCCAUGCCUUCCCACUCCAGAGGCUUCCCACCUGCAGUUCCCCCAGCACAGAGUGCCCUUCAUCAUCUCCAGCUGGGACUGGAUUGCUGACUGCCCAGGUCCAGUCAUGCUCUUAUCCCCUCUAGGGACACUAAGGAAGGACGUCCAAGCAGAGAGACAGCAUAUAGAAAGUCCCCUUAUAAAAGAAGGGGCUGGACUGGGCCCAGUGGCUCAUGCCUGUAAUCCCAGCACUUUGGGAGGCCAAGGCAAGCGGAUCAUCUAAGGUCAGGUGUUCGAGACCAACCUGGCCAACACAGUGAAACACUGUCUCUACUAAAAAUACAAAAAUUAGCUGGACAUGGUGGCGGGCACCUGUAAUCCCAAGCUACUCAGAAGGCUGAGGCACAAGAAUCUCUUAAACCCAGGAGACGGAGGUUGCAGUGAGCUGAGAUUACGUUAUUGCACUCCAGCCUGGGCGACAGAAUGAG